CGGCAGACAAAUGCCUGAUUUCAAGGAUGCGUUGUGAGUAUCCUUCGCGGUCCAUCUUUUCCCAUGAUUUAUUGCGGGUUGAAGCGGAUUGGUCAAGCAGGGGCAGCCAUGGCGGACCACAAUGGCAAAAGCUGGACAAAGAAGCAGACAGGCCAGUUUAUUAAACUCAGGGGUUAGAAUGACCACCUUUUUACUGGAGCUAAAAACUCAGCCACCGUGGCUUGGAGGACAAUUCUGGAGAAGAUGGGCCAACAGGGGAAGGUCACCCCCUUGCAGGCCAAAAGAAAGUGGG